UUUGGAAACAGAUGCUAAUACCGCAUAAAUCCAAGAACCGCAUGGUUCUUGGCUGAAAGAUGGCGUCAAGCUAUCGCUUUUGGAUGGACCCGCGGCGUAUUAGCUAGUUGGUGAGGUAACGGCUCACCAAGGCGAUGAUACGUAGCCGAACUGAGAGGUUGAUCGGCCACAUUGGGACUGAGACACGGCCCAAACUCCUACGGGAGGCAGCAGUAGGGAAUCUUCCACAAUGGACGCAAGUCUGAUGGAGCAACGCCGCGUGAGUGAAGAAGGCUUUCGGGUCGUAAAACUCUGUUGUUGGAGAAGAAUGGUCGGCAGAGUAACUGUUGUCGGCGUGACGGUAUCCAACCAGAAAGCCACGGCUAACUACGUGCCAGCAGCCGCGGUAAUACGUAGGUGGCAAGCGUUAUCCGGAUUUAUUGGGCGUAAAGCGAGCGCAGGCGGUUUUUUAAGUCUGAUGUGAAAGCCCUCGGCUUAACCGAGGAAGCGCAUCGGAAACUGGGAAACUUGAGUGCAGAAGAGGACAGUGGAACUCCAUGUGUAGCGGUGAAAUGCGUAGAUAUAUGGAAGAACACCAGUGGCGAAGGCGGCUGUCUGGUCUGUAACUGACGCUGAGGCUCGAAAGCAUGGGUAGCGAACAGGAUUAGAUACCCUGGUAGUCCAUGCCGUAAACGAUGAAUGCUAGGUGUUGGAGGGUUUCCGCCCUUCAGUGCCGCAGCUAACGCAUUAAGCAUUCCGCCUGGGGAGUACGACCGCAAGGUUGAAACUCAAAGGAAUUGACGGGGGCCCGCACAAGCGGUGGAGCAUGUGGUUUAAUUCGAAGCAACGCGAAGAACCUUACCAGGUCUUGACAUCUUUUGAUCACCUGAGAGAUCAGGUUUCCCCUUCGGGGGCAAAAUGACAGGUGGUGCAUGGUUGUCGUCAGCUCGUGUCGUGAGAUGUUGGGUUAAGUCCCGCAACGAGCGCAACCCUUAUGACUAGUUGCCAGCAUUGAGUUGGGCACUCUAGUAAGACUGCCGGUGACAAACCGGAGGAAGGUGGGGAUGACGUCAAAUCAUCAUGCCCCUUAUGACCUGGGCUACACACGUGCUACAAUGGAUGGUACAACGAGUUGCGAGACCGCGAGGUCAAGCUAAUCUCUUAAAGCCAUUCUCAGUUCGGACUGUAGGCUGCAACUCGCCUACACGAAGUCGGAAUCGCUAGUAAUCGCG
rnacentral:rRNA from 1 species